GUGGGGAAUAUUGGACAAUGGGCGCAAGCCUGAUCCAGCCAUGCCGCGUGAGUGAUGAAGGCCUUAGGGUUGUAAAGCUCUUUCAGUGGAGACGAUAAUGACGGUACCCACAGAAGAAGCCCCGGCUAACUUCGUGCCAGCAGCCGCGGUAAUACGAAGGGGGCUAGCGUUGUUCGGAUUUACUGGGCGUAAAGCGCACGUAGGCGGAUCGUUAAGUCGGGGGUGAAAUCCUGGAGCUCAACUCCAGAACUGCCUUCGAUACUGGCGAUCUUGAGUCCGGAAGGGGUGAGUGGAACUCCUGGUGUAGAGGUGGAAUUCGUAGAUAUUAGGAAGAACACCAGUGGCGAAGGCGACUCACUGGCCCGUUACUGACGCUGAGGCGCGAAAGCGUGGGGAGCAAACAGGAUUAGAAACCCUGGUAGUCC
rnacentral:rRNA from 1 species